rnacentral:rRNA from 1 species
UACGUAGGACCCAAGCGUUAUCCGGAUUUACUGGGCGUAAAGAGUUGCGUAGGUGGCAGGUAAAGCAAACAGUGAAAUCGUGUGGCUCAACCAUACUCACAUUGUUUGAACUCACCAGCUAGAGGACGAGAGAGGUUAUUGGAAUUCCUAGUGUAGGAGUGAAAUCCGUAGAUAUUAGGAGGAACACCGAUGGCGUAGGCAGAUAACUGGCUCGUUCCUGACACUAAGGCACGAAAGCGUGGGGAGCAAACGGG